GCAGCAGUGGUUCAGCAGUAGGAUUUUCACCUUCCAUGUGGGGGAUCCUGGUUCGAUUCCUGGCCAGUGCG
rnacentral:tRNA from 1 species